rnacentral:rRNA from 1 species
ACGUCAAGUCAUCAUCGGCCCUUAUCGUCCAGGGCGACACACGUGCUACAAUGGCCGGCACAGGCGGGAAGCGAGGGGCGACCUUGAGCGGAUCCCUCAAAGCCGGUCUCAGUUCGGAUUGCAGUCUGCAACUCGACUGCAUGAAGUUGGAAUCGCUAGUAAUCGUGGAUCAGCCAAGCCGCGGUGAAUACGUUCCCGGGCCUU